GACAGAGGGUGCAACCGUUGUUCGGAAUUACUGGGCGUAAAGCGCGUGUAGGCGGCCCUGCAAGUCGGAUGUGAAAUCCCACGGCUCAACCGUGGAAGUGCAUUCGAAACUGCAGGGCUAGAGUCCUGGAGAGGAAGGUGGAAUGCUUGGUGUAGAGGUGAAAUUCGUAGAUAUCAAGCGGAACACCGGUGGCGAAGGCGGCUCACUGGACCGGAACUGACGCUUAGGCGCGAAAGCGUGGGGAGCAAACAGG
rnacentral:rRNA from 1 species